rnacentral:tRNA from 1 species
GGGUGAUUAGCUCAGCUGGGAGAGCACCUCCCUUACAAGGAGGGGGUCGGCGGUUNNUAGAGCAGUUGACUUUUAAUCAAUUGGUCGCAGGUUCGAAUCCUGCACGACCCACCA